rnacentral:rRNA from 1 species
UGGGGAAUUUUACGCAAUGGGGGAAACCCUGACGUAGCGACACCGCGUGAGCGAAGAAGCCCUUUGGGUGUAAAGCUCUGUCAACAGGAACGAAACAAAUGACGGUACCUGUGGAGGAAGCAUCGGCUAACUACGUGCCUGCAGCCGCGGCAAGACGUAGGAUGCAAGCGUAGUCCGGAUUUAUUGGGCGUAAAGAGUUCGUAGGCGGUUUGUUAAGUCUGAUGUUAAAGACCGGGGCUCAACCUCGGAAAUGCAUUGGAUACUGGCAGACUGGAGUGCAGUAGAGGCUAGUGGAAUUCCCAGUGUAGCGGUGAAAUGCGUAGAUAUUGGGAAGAACACCGGUGGCGUAGGCGACUAGCUGGACUGUAACUGACGCUGAGGAACGAAAGCCAGGGGAGCAAAUGGGAUUAGAUACCCCAGUAGUCCUGGCCGUAAACGACGGAUACUAGGCGUAGUGGGUAUCGACCCCUGCUGUGCCGCAGCUAGCGCGAUAAGUAUCCCGCCUGGGGAGUACGGUCGCAAGAUUAAAACUCAAAGGAAUUGACGGGGUCAUAGCUGUUUCCU